AGAGUUUGAUCCUGGCUCAGAUUGAACGCUGGCGGCAGGCCUCACACAUGCAAGUCGAACGGUAACAGGAAGCAGCUUGCUGCUUCGCUGACGAGUGGCGGACGGGUGAGUAAUGUCUGGGAAACUGCCCGAUGGAGGGGGAUAACUACUGGAAACGGUAGCUAAUACCGCAUAACGUCGCAAGACCAAAGAGGGGGACCUUCGGGCCUCUUGCCAUCGGAUGUGCCCAGAUGGGAUUAGCUUGUUGGUGAGGUAACGGCUCACCAAGGCGACGAUCCCUAGCUGGUCUGAGAGGAUGACCAGCCACACUGGAACUGAGACACGGUCCAGACUCCUACGGGAGGCAGCAGUGGGGAAUAUUGCACAAUGGGCGCAAGCCUGAUGCAGCCAUGCCGCGUGUAUGAAGAAGGCCUUCGGGUUGUAAAGUACUUUCAGCGGGGAGGAAGGGGUUAAGGUUAAUAACCUUAACCAUUGACGUUACCCGCAGAAGAAGCACCGGCUAACUCCGUGCCAGCAGCCGCGGUAAUACGGAGGGUGCAAGCGUUAAUCGGAAUUACUGGGCGUAAAGCGCACGCA
rnacentral:rRNA from 1 species